rnacentral:tRNA from 1 species
GUUCAAUUAGUUCAACGGUAGAACUUUCGCUUGUGGUGCGAACUAUACGAGUUCGAUUCUCGUAUUGGGCC